UGGGGAAUAUUGGACAAUGGGCGCAAGCCUGAUCCAGCCAUGCCGCGUGAGUGAUGAAGGCCCUAGGGUUGUAAACUGCUUUUGCACAGGAAGAAACACUCCGACGUGUCGGAGCUUGACGGUACUGUGAGAAUAAGGAUCGGCUAACUCCGUGCCAG
rnacentral:rRNA from 1 species